UAUUUCACCUGAUAGUCUGCUAUCCUCUUUGGGGAGAUUGGCAAUUUCAAUGUUAAUCCUGCCUGUCCAUACAAGUUGCUCAACCUUUCAGUAAUGUUAAGCUGUUUUACUGUUGUAAUUUUUUCUUUUGCCUGUUGUCCAUACAAAUUGCUCAACCUUUCAGUAAUGUUAAGCUGUUUUACUGUUGUAAUUUUUUCUUUUGCCUGGUAAUCAAUCAUUUGGGUGAUUUACUGGAUAACUCUGUUGUGUUUUCCUGACAUCUACUUUGACAACAACAACAAACCCAGUUUGAUCCCAACAUGUGGGGUCUAAGGAGGGUAGUAUGUACAAAGACCUUACCCCUACCUAAGGCAGGUAAAGAGGCUGUUUCCAAUAGACCCUCGGCUCAGGAAGGACAAGAAGAAGAAGAGGGAAGCAAGGAAGGAAAAACAGUAUCCAAUUACUGACAUCUACUUUGAAUUUAUGAGGAAGCGUAUUCUUUUCUACCAAAUUUUUGAAAUAAAAGAAAGUGAUGUAAAAUUCAAUUUGGAGCCCUGGCUGCUGAUACACAUGUAUAUCUUUUUAAUCUAGUUAGUCUUGUAAAUAUAUUGCAUCUUGUUAAAAUUAACUCCUAGUUCUGUAAAUAUCAUAAUGGACACAUUCAAGAAGCUUCCUCUAUAUGACAAGUGCA
rnacentral:lncRNA from 1 species